UUAGCUUCUUUAAUACGCUUCACUUCACUCCAAAACCCUAAUACCCAUCUCCUGCAUCCGGUUCUUCCUUCUUCAUCGAUUGAUCUUCGAAAAACAUAGAUUUCUUCAUCUUCAAUCGCGAGUGGAAGCAACCAGUCCUUAUUAUGCGGCGUAUAAGGUUUUCCGAUUAAAUUCACGUAUUGAAGUAGAUUUUGAGCAAUUGUCAGAGGUGACGUUGUUUGCUGACACUAUUACAGUUCAACAAUUGGGAGUGAUGAUUUGGCAUACCAGAAAGGUCCUUUAGAGAGCUGAUCAUUCUUCCAAUCGAUUGCAAGCAGGUUCGUUUUCCAUAGAUUUGGUGUUAUUUUG